UUGUCUGUCAAUUAAUAGGGCAGUGUAUCUAUGAUUUUUCUAUGAAAUUAUAUAUUAUGUUAAAAGUAUUGAUUUAGUUUUACCAAUUUUAUAGGAGAAGAAGGUACAAACACAUUUGUCUUCAUAUAUCAACAUGAAUGUGUUCGCUGAUCUGUUGAUCUUCCUUGGUCAAAAUGUGUUCCAACAAUUUUUACAAGAAAUACCAUUUGAAUUUUUUUAUGAUUUACAUAACAUAAAAAUUCAAUGUCAAUUGUUGCGCCAUAUUUUUCUUCUUGAAAAUGAAAAUAAUAGAGAUGACAUGUUCUUAUCAACAUAAAUAGUACAGAGUAACACUUUGGAUUAAAUGAAUUUAUCGCUAUAACCGGUCUGAAAUUUGGAUCGAUUUUUUAUUUUGUUUCUGAUUCGUCUAUUCCAAAUAGACUUAUCGCAUAAAAUUUUGGGGAUAUGGACAAAGUCCCCAAGUCAAAUUUUUACCACAUGUUUAGAUUGAAAAACUUUAGGGAAGAGGAUGACCUUUUAAAAAUCAAAAUUCUGUACUUCAUUUCAUCAUUUCUGACUGCUUCAGACCCUUCAAAACAACAAUUUUCAAAUUAUAUUUUGAUUUAGUUGAGUCUUGCCAGUAUGCCACAUUUUCAUGGGGAAAUGAGUAUUUUAAUUUAACACUUAAAGCGUGCAGUCAUAAGUUGAAAAAAAUUCUUCGUCAUUCAAGUUCAGCUUGUUCCAUAUAGCCUUGCAGGUAUGGUUUUAUGAGUGUUAUCAUCAAUUUGACAACACAAUUGCUAUCCAUGCUUUAGAUCGCACACUGCAUAUCCCGAACUAGAAGACAACAAAUGACGUUAUUUUUUUUAUGAUUUGAAGAAAACGACAUUCAUAACCCAUGAAAAUCAGGACGACACCACUCACAAUGUUACACAAUCUGCUAAAGAUCCAAUGAAUAUGCCGUCUGUUUCAAUGGACGAACACGUCCACAUUUAAAAUAUCGAUGAUGAAGAUCAAAAGUCAAGUGGUGAUUUUUUCAACACUGACGUACCUGGAUCAUCAACUUCAGACCACCAUUGUUGGAUGAUUAUCCUGAUUAAUAGAUUGGCAAUGAUUGUCAUUAGAGAAUUGAAUUAGUAGGCAUUGUGAAUUAUAAUUAUGGGAAUAGUAGGUCUGCAGAAUACUCAUUGUAACUAGAUGACCCUAGUUCAUUUUUUAUUAUUAUUAUUGUUCCAUUAUAAUUUAAGUUUUCUUUAUAUUAAGAUAGUAAAUAGAUAUUUUUGAUGGAUUACAUCACAUAAAAAUUAUUAGAGCUAAGUUUUUUUUUGAAUAAUUAAGAGUUAUUUCUAGGCUUAAAAAUUCAGGAGCUUAAUUAUAGAUCUGAUUCAAUUUUUGUUUAUCAAGGCUAAACAUGCAUUAAUAAGAGUGUUGUUAGUUUUGAAAUCUUAUUAUAAAUAUAUGUACUUGAAUAGAUUGCAUUAAUUUGGAAGCUCAACGAAAAAGGGAAGGCUCAAACCCCGGAGUAAAUUGUUGAUUAGUUGAGGCAAGUGGAUUUCUAAACUCUUGUUAAGUGUAUGGAAUGUAUGUAUUUCCUUGUGGUAUAUGUUUGUGAGUAACGGGAUUUGGUGAUGGGUUGGCUUGUCCACCUUGAUUAAUUUUAAUGAUGAAAACAAAGGGUAAUAAAAGACAAUUUAAAUAAUUGAUUGUGUGUGAUGUAUUGAUAAUGGAGAAUGGUUUGAAAGGCUUUUUGAAUCAUUAUUGUUGUGAAUCGUGCAAUGUUAUGAAAAUGGUGAUAUCCUCUUAUUUGUGUGAACAUGUCAUUUGCAUUAUUUUGAGACAUGAUGGUGAAAAGUGUUAUGUGCAUUGAGAAAGAAUGAGAACUUAAAGAGGAUGUACCAUUUCGAGGGACAUAACGCGCGCCGCGAUGGAUACUAUAUUUUGAGGAACGUAUCGCUCGCCGCGAUGGUUAUUAUUAUCGAGGGUCUUAUCGUGCGCCGCGACAAAUGCAUGGACAAAUAUGUCCCCCAUGGGUCCCGGACUGAGAGACAGCGGGUGUGUAUCACUAGGUCAGACAUGCAUCAUUAUACUUGACAUUGCAUUCCAUUGCAUUGUACAUACUUAUUAUUAGUGAAC